UACGGAGGGUGCAAGCGUUAUUCGGAUUCACUGGGUUUAAAGGGUGCGUAGGUGGGCAGGUAAGUCAGUGGUGAAAUCUCCGGGCUUAACCCGGAACUGCCGUUGAUACUAUUUGUCUUGAAUAUUGUGGAGGUGAGCGGAAUAUGUCAUGUAGCGGUGAAAUGCUUAGAUAUGACAUAGAACACCAAUUGCGAAGGCAGCUCACUACACAAUCAUUGACGCUGAGGCACGAAAGCGUGGGGAUCAAACAGG
rnacentral:rRNA from 1 species